ACGCUCGACACCUACGGGGGCAGCAGUAGGGAAUCUUCCACAAUGGACGCAAGUCUGAUGGAGCAACGCCGCGUGAGUGAAGAAGGUCUUCGGAUCGUAAAACUCUGUUGUUAGAGAAGAACACGAGUGAGAGUAACUGUUCAUUCGAUGACGGUAUCUAACCAGCAAGUCACGGCUAACUACGUGUCAGCAGCCGCGGUAAUCUGAGCGGGCUGGCAAGGC
rnacentral:rRNA from 1 species